UGACCAGACUCCUACGGGAGGCAGCAGUGGGGGAUAUUGCACAAUGGGGGGAAACCCUGAUGCAGCGACGCCGCGUGAGUGAAGAAGUAUUUCGGUAUGUAAAGCUCUAUCAGCAGGGAAGAAAAUGACAGUACCUGACCAAGAAGCCCCGGCUAACUACGUGCCAGCAGCCGCGGUAAUACGUAGGGGGCAAGCGUUAUCCGGAUUUACUGGGUGUAAAGGGAGCGUAGACGGCGAUACAAGUCUGAAGUGAAAGCCCGGGGCUCAACCCCGGGACUGCUUUGGAAACUGUGUUGCUGGAGUGCUGGAGAGGCAAGCGGAAUUCCUAGUGUAGCGGUGAAAUGCGUAGAUAUUAGGAGGAACACCAGUGGCGAAGGCGGCUUACUGGACUGUAACUGACGUUGAGGCUCGAAAGCGUGGGGAGCAAACAGGAUUAGAUACCCUAGUAGC
rnacentral:rRNA from 1 species